GCGAACGCUGGCGGCAGGCCUAACACAUGCAAGUCGAACGCCCCUUCGGGGGAGUGGCGGACGGGUGAGUAACACGUGGGAACGUGCCCUUUGGUACGGAACAACUGAGGGAAACUUCAGCUAAUACCGUAUAAGCCCCCCUUCUUAGCGGGAGGGGCGGGAAAGAUUUAUCGCCAUUGGAGCGGCACCGCGUUGGAUUAGGUAGUUGGUGGGGUAAAGGCCCACCAAGCCUGCGAUCCAUAGCUGGUCUGAGAGGAUGAUCAGCCACACUGGGACUGAGACACGGCCCAGACUCCUACGGGAGACAGCAGUGGGGGAAUCUUGCGCAAUGGGGCGAAAGCCUGACGCAGCCAUGCCGCGUGGAAUGAUGAAGUGAUCUUAGGAUUGUAAAAUUCUUCCACCGGGGAAGAUAAUGACGGUACCCGGAGAAGAUAGCCCCGGCUAACUUCGUGCCAGCAGCCGCGGUAAUACGAAGGGGGCUAGCGUUGCUCGGAAUUACUGGGCGUAAAGGGCGCGUAGGCGGACAGUUUAGUCAGAGGUGAAAGCCCAGGGCUCAACCUUGGAAUUGCCUUUGAUACUGGCUGUCUUGAGUUCGGGAGAGGUGAGUGGAAUGCCGAGUGUAGAGGUGAAAUUACGUAGAUAUUCGGCGGAACACCAGUGGCGAAGGCGACUCACUGGCCCGAUACUGACGCUGAGGCGCGAAAGCGUGGGGGAGCAAACAGGAUUAGAUACCCUGGUAGUCCACGCCGUAAACGAUGAGUGCUAGUUGUCGGCAUGCAUGCAUGUCCGGUGACAGCAGCUAACGCAUUAAGCACUCCGCCUGGGGAGUACGGUCGCAAGAUUAAAACUCGAAGGAAUUGACGGGGGCCCCGCACAAGCGGUGGAGCAUGUGGUUUAAUUCGAAGCAACGCGCAGAACCUUACCACCGUUUUGACAUGACCCUGAUCGCUGCAUGAGAUGCAGUUUUCCCUUCGGGACAGGGGACACAGGUGCUAGCAUGGCUGGUCGUCAGGCCCGUUGUCGUGAUGAUGUUUGGGUUAAGUCCCGCAACGAGCGCAACCCUCGCCAUUAGUUGCCAUCAUUCAGUUGGGCACUCUAAUGGGACCAGGCCGGUGGUAAGCCGGAGGAAGGUGGGGAUGACGUCAAGUCCUCAUGGCCCUUACGGGGUGGGCUACACAACGUGCUACAAUGGCGACUACAGAGAGGCUGCAACACCUAGCGAUAGGGGAGCUAAUCCCUAAAUAGUCGUCUCAGUUCGGAUUAGCACUCUGCAACUCGAGUGCAUGAAGUCGGAAUCGCUAGUAAUCGCGGAUCAGCAUGCCGCGGUGAAUACGUUUCCCGGGCCUUGUACCCACCGCCCAGUCACACCAUGGGAGUUGGCUUAUACCCCGAAGGACGGUGCGCUAACCCGCAAGGGAGGCAGCCGGCCACGGUAGGGUCAGCGACUGGGGUG
rnacentral:rRNA from 1 species